GUUAAGCUACUAAGGGUCUAUGCACGGAUGACUUGGUUAGGUGAGGCGAUGAAGGACGGGGUAAGCACCGAAAUGCCUCGGGUAGCCGCAAACAGGCUUUAAUCCGAGGGUGUCCGAAUGGGGGAACCCUUCCGGUCGAAAUACCGGAAACCCUACGAUGAAUACAUAGUUGUAGGGAGCGAACCAGAAGAAGUGAAACAUCUAAGUACUCUGAGGAAAAGAAAUCGAACAGAUUUCCCCAGUAGCGGCGAGCGAAAAGGAAACAGUCUAAACCUUUUUUGUUUUCGCAAGAAAACAAAAAAGGGGUUGUGGGGCCUCGUCAUGGUAGGCUAAGGGAUAGCAGAAAUGCCUGGAAAGGCAUACCAAAGAAAGUGAAAGUCUUGUAAGCGAAAUUCUGCAGCCGCCUAGAGGUACCCCAAGUACCACGGGACACGGGGAAUCCUGUGGGAAUCCAGGCCGACCACGGUCUAAGACUAAAUACUCCACCUAAACCGAUAGUGUACAAGUACCGUGAGGGAAAGUUGAAAAGAACCCCGGGAGGGGAGUGAAAUAGAACCUGAAAUCAUAGACCUACAAGCGGUGGAAGGGCUAUGGUCCGGCGUAAGCCGGACAAUGCCUGACCGCGUACCUUUUGCAUAAUGGACCGACGAGUUAUUCUUGUAAGCGAGUCUAAGUAAGCUGUUAACGCAUCUUACGCAGGCGUAGGGAAACCGAGUCUUAAAUGGGCGUUUAGCUUGCAGGAAUAGACCCGAAGCUGAGUGAUCUACCCAUGGCCAAUGGGAAGCCUUCCGAAAGGAGGGUGGACGUAUGAACCCGUCAGUGUUGAAAAACUGUGGGAUGAGCUGUGGGUCGGAGCGAAAGACUAAUCAAACUCAGAAAUUGCUGGUUCUCCCCGAAAUAUUUCUAGGGAUAGCCUCAAGACACUACGUUAUAGGGGUAGAGUACUGAAUGGACUACGGGAGUCUACCGACUUGCUGAGUCCAACCAAACUGCGAAUACUAUAACGACUAUCUUGGGAGUAAGACGUUGGGGGCCAAGCUCCAUCGUCUAGAGGGAAUCAGCCCAGACCGCCAGUUAAGGUCCCUAAGGACAGGCUAAGUGGUAAAGGAUGUGGAUUCGCUUAGACAGCCAGGAUGUUGGCUCAGAGGCAGCCAUCAUUUAAAGAGUGCGUAACAGCUCACUGGCCGAGCGGAUUCGCGCCGAAGAUGAUCGGGGCUAAGCCUGUUACCGAAACUGUGGGUUCAUUUUGCCCUCGGGCAAAGUGAGCGGUAGGGGAGCAUAGUCCAACGAGUGAAGUCAUACCGUAAGGAGUGAUGGACGUUGGACUAGGGAUUAUGUCGGUAUGAGUAGCGAAAACGUCUGCGAGAAACAGACGCGCCGAAAGUCCAAGGUUUCCUGGGGAAGGUUAAUCCGCCCAGGGUUAGUCGUGCCUAAGCUGAGGCCACAAGGCGUAAGCGAUGGACAAUCCGUUAAUAUUCGGAUACUUACUUAUUGGCGUUACGUUUUCCGUGUGACGCAGAAUGUUGAUAUCUGCGCAGUGUUGGACGUCUGCGUUCUUGUUUCCGUAAGGGGAUGAGGGGACCCUGAGGUUUCUGAGGGGGAAGUGGUUGAAAACGGGCUGCCUAGAAAAGCACGGGGAGCAGUCAGUAGGUGACACGUACCGUAAUCCGACACAGGUAGACCACCAGAAUAUGGUAAGGCGUUCGAGAUAACUCUCGUUAAGGAACUCGGCACACUAGCCCCGUAACUUCGGGAUAAGGGGUGCCCUUCGUCGAAAGGCGUAAGGGUCUCAGUAAAGUGGCUCGGGUGACUGUUUAGCAAAAACACAUCUCUCUGCAAACUCGAAAGAGGACGUAUAGGGAGUGACACCUGCCCAGUGCUGGAAGGUUAAGGGAAUUUGUCAGUGAGAGUAAUCUUACGAAGCAUUGAACCGAAGCCCCAGUAAACGGCGGCCGUAACUAUAACGGUCCUAAGGUAGCGAAAUUCCUUGUGGGGUAAGUUCCCACGCGCACGAAUGGUGUAACAACCUGAGCGCUGUCUCAACGAGAGACUCGGCGAAAUUGUAGUGGCGGUGA
rnacentral:rRNA from 1 species